rnacentral:rRNA from 1 species
UACGUAGGUGGCAAGCGUUGUCCGGAUUUACUGGGCGUAAAGGGCGUGCAGGCGGUCUGUUAAGUGCAGGGUGAAAGCUCCCGGCUCAACUGGGAGAGGUCCUUGCAUACUGGCGGACUUGAGGGGGGUAGAGGAAAGUGGAAUUCCCGGUGUAGUGGUGAUAUGCGUAGAUAUCGGGAGGAACACCUGUGGCGAAAGCGGCGCACUGGACCAUAACUGACGCUGAGGCGCGAAAGCUAGGGGAGCAAACAGG